rnacentral:rRNA from 1 species
GUGCAGCAGGCGCGAAAACUUCACAAUGUGGGAAACCACGAUGAGGGAACUCAAAGUGCUUGCGCUUUUCGUAAGCUGUUCUUUUGUCUAAAAAACAAAAGAAGUAAGGGCCGGGGAAGACGGGUGCCAGCCGCCGCGGUAAUACCCGAGGCCCGAGUGGUGGUCAUUAUUAUUGAGCCUAAAGCGUCCGCAGCCGGUUUGGUAGAUGCCUGGGUAAAUCGAAUCGCUUAACGAUCCGAAUUCCGGGUAGACCGCCAAACUUGGGACCGGGAGAGGUUGGAGGUACUUCUGGGGUAGGGGUAAAAUCCUGUAAUCCUGGGAGGACCAUCAGUGGCGAAGGCGUCACGCUAGAACGGAUCCGACGGUCAGGGACGAAGCCCAGGGGCGCAAACGGGAUUAGAUACCCGCGUAGUCC